AUGGCCGACGAGCUCGGCCUCGUCGUCAUCGCGGUGAGGAUCGCCAGGGCGACCGUCAAGGCCACCGGCGACCGCAUCGCCCAGCUGCAGGCCGCCGAGACGUCGCCCCGGCGGCGGAUGGUCCUGGAAGAGUGCGCCAAGGACUACGCCUUGACCGUGCGCCGGCUGGGGCGCGCCGUCAGGGACUUCGCCGCGGGCGGGGACGAGGGCCGGCUGACGGAGGCGGCCACCCUGCUGGAGCAGGUUCGUGGCACGCCGGCGCGGUGCGACAAGGCGUUCGUCUUCUGGGUCGGCGAGAGGACGCCGCUGACCGACGCGGACCACGAGCUCAACGACGUGACCGUGCUGGCGUUGAAAAUCUUGCAGCAUUGCUUAAACAACGGGGCAAAAUGA
rnacentral:rRNA from 1 species